rnacentral:lncRNA from 1 species
CACAUCGAUCAAUAACAUUAUUAAACAAUGUCUGCCUUCAGGUGUGUGUGUGUGUGCGUGUGUGUGUGUGUGUGGUAGAAUGAUCCGAGCAGAGAAGGUAGUUAGCAGCUUGGAUUGAUUACUGAACCGUCCCCUCGAGGCGUCAUCUGGAUCACUCACAAAACAACUGCAAGGGAACAUGAACAACUACAAAGAGACAACAAACAGCUGCGAAGAGACAAACACGACUAUUAAAAGAGCAAAGACUCAAAACAACUACAAAGAUUCAAAAUGACCACAAAGAGAUGCAGAGACACACACACAGACAGACAAAGACACACACAAAGAUACACACAAAGACACAGAGAGACACACACAGAGAGAUACACAAAGACACACACAGAGACACAGAGAGAUACACACAGAGACACAGAGAGACACAGACACACACAGAGACACAGACACACACAGAGACAAAUACACACACAGAGACAAAGACACACACAGACACACACAGAGACACACAGAGACAAAGACACACACAGAGACAAAGACACACACAGACACACACAGAGACACAGACACACACAGAGACACAGACACACAGAGACACAGACACACACAGAGACACAGACACACACAGAGACACAUACACACACAAAGACACACAGAGACACACACAGACACACACAGAGACACACAGAGACAGACACACACAGAGACAAAGACACACAGAGACACAGACACAUAGAGACAGACACACACAGAGACAAAGACACACAGACACACACAGAGACAAAGACACACACAGACACACACAGAGACACAGACACACACAGACACACACAGAGACACAGACACACACAGAGACAAAGACACACACAGACACACACAGAGACAAAGACACACACAGAGACACACACACAGACACACAGAGACACACACACAGACACACAGAGACACACAUACAGACAGAGACACACACAGACACACAGAGACACAGACAGAGACAGACACACAGACACACACACACACAGAGACAGAGACAGACAGAGACACACACACACACAGAGAGACACACACAGAGACAGACACACACACUGAGACAGACACAGACACACACAGAGACAAAGACACACAGACACACACAGAGACACAGACACACACAAAGAUACACACAGAGACACAGACACAGACACACACAAAGAGACACACAGAGAGACGCACACAGACAUACACACAGAGACACACAGAGACAAAGACACACACAGAGACACACAGAGAGAGAGACACAGACACACACAGAGACACAGAGAGACACACAGACACACACAGAGACACAGACACACACAAAGACACACAGAGACACAAAGACACACAGAGACACAGACACACACAGAGACACACAAAGAUACACACAGACACACACACAGACACACACAGAGAGACACAGACACACAAAGAUA